CCUGGCUCAGGACGAACGCUGGCGGCGUGCUUAACACAUGCAAGUCGAACGGGAUUUAGUAGACGGAAGCCUCGGUGGAAGAUUACUAAUGAGAGUGGCGAACGGGUGAGUAACGCGUGAGCAACCUGCCUAUGACAGUGGGAUAGCCUCGGGAAACCGGGAUUAAUACCGCAUAAAAUCGUAGAAACACAUGUUUCAACGGUCAAAGAUUUAUCGGUCAUAGAUGGGCUCGCGUCUGAUUAGCUAGUUGGUGAGAUAACAGCCCACCAAGGCGACGAUCAGUAGCCGGUCUGAGAGGAUGAACGGCCACAUUGGAACUGAGACACGGUCCAAACUCCUACGGGAGGCAGCAGUGGGGAAUAUUGCACAAUGGGGGAAACCCUGAUGCAGCGACGCCGCGUGAACGAAGAAGGUAUUCGUAUCGUAAAGUUCUGUCCUAUGGGAAGAUAAUGACAGUACCAUAGAAGAAAGCUCCGGCUAAAUACGUGCCAGCAGCCGCGGUAAUACGUAUGGAGCGAGCGUUGUCCGGAAUUAUUGGGCGUAAAGGGUACGCAGGCGGUUUAAUAAGUCGAAUGUUAAAGAUCGGGGCUCAACCCCGUAAAGCAUUGGAAACUGAUAAACUUGAGUAGUGGAGAGGAAAGUGGAAUUCCUAGUGUAGUGGUGAAAUACGUAGAUAUUAGGAGGAAUACCAGUAGCGAAGGCGACUUUCUGGACACAAACUGACGCUGAGGUACGAAAGCGUGGGGAGCAAACAGGAUUAGAUACCCUGGUAGUCCACGCCGUAAAC
rnacentral:rRNA from 1 species